rnacentral:lncRNA from 10 species
CUCCUUUCAACUUAUGACCGCAACAAUGAAUCUUAAAUAAACUGCUUCAAAGUCGUCAUAAUGAAGUAACUGAUAGGAUAGUACUGGCAGCCACAUUGAUGAUAAUGAACCUGAGGAUGAAGGGUCGACUCUCCACCCAAACAGCUCGAUGAUCUCCAUCCGAAGCUAAGUCUGCCUUUCAGUUUAAUUCAGUUCAGUUACAUACAAUUCAAUUUAAUAAAUAUUUAUUCAACUGCCUCUCCACCCUUAAUUUCUGAUUGUGUGUCCCAUGAGAGUGGUGAGAUCCUAUUUUCAAAAUAAGAGGGCAGAGAUACUUCAAUUUAUCUCAUUUUUUAGAAGGAUAUUUAAAAAAAAAAUUACCGUCUUAAACACAGAUUGCAAGUUUCUAAAAAUUGUGCAUUGGAUUCAGAUAUCAUUCUUUUUCUGACGCUCAAAGCUCUAAACAGAUAGUUGUUUGUAUAUGUGUAAGACAUCCAUCUUUUGAUUUGUUCAAUUGUUCAGUGCAUGUUAAUAAAUAUCACUGAGCUAAGAUAACUAAGAGAGAGUACUUGGCUUUUGAAGACUGCCCAGAAAAGUAGGAGACAUGAUAUGUGAGCAAGAGAUUAAAGUACUGUGAACUGCUGAAGCUAAAAGAGACAUGCAUAAAAAGAAUGUUUCUGAUUUAUUCAGAGGAAGCAAUUGUGCAGGGCACAGCAUACAGGCUUACAGAGGGCCUAUGGAAGAGUUCUCCAUGGAGUAUUUCAGGCAACAGGAGGAGCACAUGCAGUUUUCAAAGAUGAAGAUUCAAUGUAUUAGGUAUUGUGUAAAAUGCAUAACAAACUACCUGAACAUAGGAAGUAUCCAUAAAAUGGAGAUCUGCAGCUGAGAACUUGGAAACAGAAAUUCUGAGAUGGGAAGAAACCUACAUAUUAUCCAGAAGGAUCCCCAGGCCCUUUCUGAUAUGGAGAGCAGUGAAGUCCAUGCUAAAUCCAGGCACCUCUUGAGUGCAGGUCCUGGAGGAGCUUCCAAAGGGAAGACAACUCUGAAAGGAAUCAGCCAACCAUAGCCUUGCUAUAUCCUGGGGUCUUGGAUAAUGUAGAAGAGUAAAAUCUAAGUCUUGCUUACAGAAUCUGAAGAAACUCUUCUGACUUCAAAGCUCAAUUCUGUGCCAUGGAAAUCAGAUAUACUAUAUCAUAUCUCAACUUAAGUGCAAAGGAGCAAACUCUGGCAAAACUUUAUGUAAAGGAAGAACUUUCUCCUCUUCUCUCCCCAUAUCAUCAUAGCAGCUACAUCCUACAAACACACAGCGGCUGUUAUCAGAAAUCAACUUGUGAAAGUCACCUCUACCCAUAGAUGAGGUUGUGAUGGUUUCAUCCAAAUGAUUUUAUGGCCUGUGAAGCAGUCAUUUGGAUCAAGGUUAACAAAUUCUUGGUAUCAGAGGUGCUACUGAGGACUCCACAUACCGAUACCAAUAAAUAAUGUCCAUACAACGAAGGUGGUGUUGGUUGAUACGGUUUGGAUCUGUGUCCCCACCCAAAUCGCAUGUUGAAUUGUAAUCCCCCAGUAUUGGAGGUGGGGCCUGGUGGGAGGUAACUGGAUCAUGGGGUUGGAUUUCCCUAUUGCUGUUCUCAUGAUAGUGAGUGAGUUGUCAUGAGAUCUGGUUGUUUAAAAGUGUGUAAUACCUCCCACUCACCUUCCUCCUGCUGUGGCCAUGGAAGAUGUGCCUCCUUCACCUUCCACCAUGACUGUGUUUCCUGAGGCCUUCCCAGAAACUGAGCAGAUGCCACCAUGCUUCCUGUACAAUCUACAGAACCUUGAGCCAAUUAAACCUUUUUUUUAUAAAUUAC